UACGAAGGGGACUAGCGUUGUUCGGAAUCACUGGGCGUAAAGCGCACGUAGGCGGAUUUGUAAGUCAGGGGUGAAAUCCCGGGGCUCAACCUCGGAACUGCCUUUGAUACUGCGAAUCUUGAGUCCGAUAGAGGUGGGUGGAAUUCCUAGUGUAGAGGUGAAAUUCGUAGAUAUUCGCAAGAACACCAGUGGCGAAGGCGGCUCACUGGCCCGGUACUGACGCUGAGGUGCGAAAGCGUGGGGGAGCAAACAGG
rnacentral:rRNA from 1 species